rnacentral:rRNA from 1 species
UACGUAGGCAGCGAGCGUUGUUCGGAAUUACUGGGCGUAAAGAGUGUGUAGGCGGUGCUCUAAGUUCGGUGUGAAAUCUCCUGCUUAACUGGGAGGGUGCGCCGGAAACUGGAGUGCUCGAACGUGGGAGAGGAAAGCGGAAUUCCUGGUGUAGCGGUGAAAUGCGCAGAUAUCAGGAGGAACACCGGUGGCGAAGGCGGGUCUCUGGGCCGAUACUGACACUGAGGAGCGAAAGCGUGGGGAGCGAACAGG